rnacentral:tRNA from 1 species
GUCCCUGUAGCGCAAUGAAUAGCGCUUUGGGACAUCUAAUCCAAAGGUCGUGGGUUCAAUCCCACCUGGGAUG